GCCGGAGUGGCGGAAUUGGUAGACGCGCGGGUCUCAAAAACCCGUCUAGGUUGCUAGGUGAGGGUUCGAUUCCCUCCUUCGGUACCA
rnacentral:tRNA from 1 species